rnacentral:hammerhead_ribozyme from 1 species
UGGCGAAACUCCCGAAAGGGGGUCGAGGCGGGGUGGUGCCCGCUUCCUGACGAUGCCAGCCGCAU